rnacentral:lncRNA from 1 species
AUGCCUCUCACUUUCGGCAGCGGGACCACACUGACCGUCCAGCCCAAGGACGCGAGCCAGAAGAUGCCCACCCUGUCCAUCCUCCAGUCGACGAGUAAGGAGCAGCCGCACGUGUGUCUGGCGGCAGGAUUCUACCCCAAGGGUCAGGAGAUGAAGCUCAUGGAGGACGUCGGAGAAGCGAACAAGAGUUCCAAGUCCAUCACGGUGGACAAGGCGCCCCUGGACACCAGCAGCAAGUCCUACUUCUUUGCUGGCUUCAUGGACAAGGGGAAGAGCCUGAGGGAGUGUGAGCUCAUGGGCCAGAAAGAACAGCUGGAGGAAGAGACUAAACCGACCGCCCAGGCGCCGAGUCCAGAGGAGUGCGAACCCGCCUCUGUCAAUGACACCCUGUCCCAAGGGCGUUCCGGCGACACACUCGAACACAUGAAGGUGAACUUCCGCUCACUGCUGGUCCACGGACUCAGGCUGCUGUUGGCCAAGGUCGUGACCUUUGACAUGAUGGUCACGGUCAAGGCCAUGUUCUUCUAGCCGCAGCAGGAGACGCCACGACACUCCACCCGAGGAGCUCCAGCGUGUCCAGCGUGUCCAGCAUGUCCAGCGCGUCCAGAACGUCCAGCCUCAGCAUUUCUGCUGGACGGAGCCGGAGCCGGAGCCGGAGCCGGAGCACAGGACAGGCGUCCCUCACAGCUUCUUCAUAGGAACUGCGGCUGCUGCUUCUGCCAAAGUGUGUGUUACCGCAGUGCAGCAAAAAAUAGUGUAAAACACUGUAAAUAGAGUAGUGAACACAGCAGCCCUGCAGUUUGCAUUCGGUGUUGAUGACCGAGCUGAAGCCACACGUGUUUUUCUGUGUUUGUGUCCUUCUGCUAAGAGCGAUUUCAUUGAUCUGCCAGCUUAAUAAAGACGACCUUUUUACGCA